UACGUAGGGGGCAAGCGUUGUCCGGAUUUAUUGGGCGUAAAGAGCUCGUAGGUGGUUCGGUAAGUCGGAUGUGAAAUCUCCAGGCUCAACCUGGAGGGGUCAUUCGAUACUGCCGUGACUAGAGGUCGGUAGGGGAGUGUGGAAUUCCUGGUGGAGCGGUGAAAUGCGUAGAUAUCGAGAGGAACACCUGCGGCGAAGGCGGGUAGCUGGGCCGACACUGACGCUGAUGCGCGAAAGCCAGGGGAGCGAACGGG
rnacentral:rRNA from 1 species